rnacentral:rRNA from 1 species
GGAAUCUUGCGCAAUGGGCGAAAGCCUGACGCAGCAACGCCGCGUGAGUGAUGAAGGUUCUUGGAUCGUAAAGCUCUUUCGCGUGGGAAGAAACGCCCGGUGGCCAAUACCCAUCGGGUUUGACGGUACCACGAGAAGAAAGCCCCGGCUAACUACGUGCCAGCAGCCGCGGUAAUACGUAGGGGGCAAGCGUUGUCCGGAAUUAUUGGGCGUAAAGCGCGCGCAGGCGGUUUCUUAAGUCUUGUGUUUAAGCCCGGGGCUCAACCUCGGUUCGCAUGGGAAACUGGGAAACUGGAGUGCAGGAGAGGAAAGUGGAAUUCCACGUGUAGCGGUGAAAUGCGUAGAGAUGUGGAGGAACACCAGUGGCGAAGGCGACUUUCUGGCCUGUAACUGACGCUGAGGCGCGAAAGCGUGGGGAGCAAA